rnacentral:lncRNA from 1 species
AUUUUGCUCUUUAUUGAUAAUGUGUGUUCUUAUUUUGAAUAUUUAUCAUUAAACAUUGUAAUAACACAAAUCUGUGUGAAUUUUUGUGUGUCCAAGCUUCCUUCUUUAGUACCAAGUGGUCGCUUCCACUUUACUCGUCCAUUUCUUGUGGAUUUCAGUUUCUAAUUCCGGAUGGGCUUGAAAAUCAGAACACUAUUCAGCUUAAGCUUUGAGUGAUACAGUAGUUUAUAAAUUCCUAAACGUGGUUCCAACAAGUGUAUUAUGUAGCUUUAGCUCAUACUAAAGCUGUAAAGUAUUUCAGAUACCUAGUCCAUGAAUUUUCUAAUAAUUUAGGGGAGGUUCCCAAACUGAGGUAGUAUUAAAAUAUUGAGGAAAUCAAAAAUAAUAUUUGAGUCAUUAAAAUCAAAGUAAUGAGCAAUCAGAGAGAUGAUUUAAGUCAUUUUAGGGAAAAGUUUCCCUUAUUACAGAGGAGCAUGGUAAAUCAAUGCAUGAGAGACUAAAUAAUUAUUUUAGAUGUGUUGUGCAAUGUCCAGCAGAAUUUAAAUCACAGAAAGGUUUACAUUUGAACAGUGAAAGAUACCUGCAGUAUUCAUAGAUACCUGCGAAUAGUUAGGCAAAUAUGUUUUCAAAUAAAAUACAAAGUUUACACUUGUUUUGCCUAACACGGUUGUACAGGCCAAUGAUUAAAUGCACCAACUUUGGAAUCAAGAUUUCCUGGAUUCAAAUUCAAGCUCCACCAUUGGCAAAUUAUUUAACCUACAUGUGCCUCAGUUCCCUCAUCUAUAUGUGGAGGCAAUAGUUACACUCUCUUAUAAUGUUUUUGUUAGCAUUGUCAGAAGAUAGCUCAUGUGGAGCAUUUUAGAAGAAUACUUAUGUUUAACAGCCAACAGGUUUGCUUAUUAAACUGUAGAGAAAAAUUAAAAAGAAAAAUCAAGAAGUUCUUCACUAGUUUAAUUUUUCUACAAAUGAUAAAAUGUUUCUGAUUAUAUAUGCUAUGAAUUUGUUUAAUGUCUUGUUGAGGCAUCUGAAGUGUGUGUGCAUGUAAAUAUUGGCACAUUUCUGAACACAAUUUACACCGAGCCAAAGAGAGUCACUAAUAUUUGUUAAAUUGCUUUUCUAAAGUGGGAAAAGUAGCAUCUUUUCCAAAGGGUGCUUUAUUCACACUAACUAAUUAAGUGAAUGAGCUUUCUGGUUUUAAUUAAGUGGAGUGUUUGUAUAUGUAUAUGCUUGUUUAUAUACUCAGCAGCAAUAAGGGUGAGAUUUUAAUAUAGAAAGGAAGAAAUAGCCACUAAGAAAGUUCAAGCCCAUUCAAGUAAAAAUCCUAACCUGAUAGUUUUAGGCAAUGCAAAGUUAAUGGACUGGUUUGAAUUCCAUAAAGUGGUACUUUUUUAUCAUCUGAAAUGGCUCAUGGAUCUCAUAUGAACAUACCUAAUAUUUCUGGAGCAUUAACUCUUCAGAGGUAUAAUCACACUGUGUAUCAAUAAAGAUAAAAUACGUGAUAAGUGAAAUUUUGCUUUCUGGCUGCUUUGGGAUUAUGUGGCUAAUGACCAUCAGGCAGACACUCAGGCAAUUACAAUGGGGAGAUUUCUUAGCUCUGAAAGCACAGGCAAGAUUCCAAAAUGUGCAAAACAAGCAGAGCAUAGAGUAGGGGCAAAGGUGAUAUAUUCAUGGAUGAGUGCAAGUUUUGGUUUUCAGGAGUUCAAGGAGCAAGUCUGUUCAGAAUAUUGUUAUAAAGCAGAUAGAGGACAAAAGCAUAAUUGAAAUAACCGGAAUGUACAUAGGCUAACUGCAUUGCUUUAUGUGGUGUGGUUCUGUGGAAAGAUUAUUAGACUUACAAGAGUGAGGACUCACAGUUCUGCCAGCAAAUAAGCUGAGUGGCUUCAGACAAGCCACUUUACUUAUCUCUGGGCCUCAGUUUUCCCGUUUAUGGAUUAAAGACAUUCACAGACAUUGGCUGAGUGCCCGCAAUGUGCCAGCUAUUGAGCUAAACUUGGGAUGCUAGAAAAGACAAUCCCUUUUCUGGAUUAGGAAGUUUACAUUUUAAAGAUGCAAGAAGGCACUAAACAAGGGCAGUGAGGUACAACAAGCUCUGUGGUUUUAUUUCUCCUAAAUGGGAGGAAACAUAGAGAGGAAGAAAAGUAUGCAAUCUCAGUUGCAAAUGGAGGCAGGGGCUCACCAUGUUCUCUGAUACGAUUGUACCGCCCAUUGGUAAGAAUCAGAGGCUGAAAAGAUUCUGUUACUGAAACUCAACACUUAGUUGAUACCUGCUACAACUUUAACUACUCGUUGACUGUUUACGGCUUUUGCUGUAAGUUGGAGUAUGGUGACAAACACACAAAAUUAUUUGAUCUUCCUGUUGAGCUCUAGCUAAGGGUUCUUCAUAUAUUCUGGAUAUUAGACCUUCAUCAGAUAUGUGAUUUACAAAUAUUUUUUCCCAUUUGUUUGUUACCUUUUCACUAUCUUGAUACUCUACUUUGAGGUGAAAAUGCUUUUAAAUUCGAUGAAGUCCAAUUUAUCUAUUUUUUCUUUGAUUUCUUGUGCUUUUGGUAUUAUGUUUAAAUAUUGCAUUUCUAGAAUAAAUGUCAUGAAUAAUUAUACUGAUGAUUUCUUCUAAGAGUUUUAUAGUUUUAAUGCUUAUUUUUAGUUAUUUGAUUUAUUUGGGGUCUAUUUUUACAUAUAAUGUGAGGAAGGAUUACAACUUCCUUCUUUUUCAUGUAGAUAUGCAGAUGUUUGCAGCACCAUAUGUCAAAAAAAUCUCUUCUUUCCUCAUAAAAUUUUCUUGACACUCUUGUUAAAAUUCAAUUGACCAUAAAUGUAUGGGUUUAUUACAGUACUUAUAUUUCUAUUUCAUUGAUUUAUACAUCUAUCCUAUGCAAGUACCACAAAGUCUUGAUUACAGCAGUUUUAUAGUAAGCUUUGGAAUUGGCGAGUAUAUGUUUUCAAACUUAUUACUUUCCAAGAUUGUUUAGAUAAUUCUCAGUUCUUUUGUAUUUAAAUUUUUGCAUCAGUAUGUUAAUUUAUGCAAAAAAUGCAUUUGGGACUUGACAAGAUUUUGUUAAAUAUGUGGAUGAAGUUUUAGAGUAUUACAUCUUAACAAGUCUUUAAUCCAUGAACAUGGAAUUCCUUUCUAUUUAUUUAGGAUUUCUUUAUUUUAUUUUAAUGAUAUUUGGUACUUGCAGUGUACAAGUCUUAUACUUCUUUUGU